UACGUAGGGGGCGAGCGUUGUCCGGAUUUAUUGGGCGUAAAGAGCUCGUAGGCGGUUCGGUAAGUCGGAUGUGAAAUCUCCACGCUCAACGUGGAGGGGCCAUUCGAUACUGCCGUGACUCGAGUCCGGUAGGGGAGUGUGGAAUUCCCGGUGUAGCGGUGAAAUGCGCAGAUAUCAGGAGGAACACCGGUGGCGAAGGCGGGUCUCUGGGCCGAUACUGACGCUGAGGAGCGAAAGCGUGGGGAGCGAACAGG
rnacentral:rRNA from 1 species